UACGAAGGGUGCUAGCGUUGUUCGGAAUCACUGGGCGUAAAGCGCGCGUAGGCGGCUUUUCAAGUCAGGGGUGAAAUCCCACGGCUCAACCGUGGAAUUGCCUCUGAAACUGUGAAGCUAGAGUGUCGGAGGGGAUAGCGGAAUUGCUAAUGUAGAGGUGAAAUUCGUAGAUAUUAGCAGGAACACCGGUGGCGAAGGCGGCUAUCUGGACGACAACUGACGCUAAAGUGCGAAAGCGCGGGGAUCAAACAGG
rnacentral:rRNA from 1 species